rnacentral:piRNA from 1 species
UUAUCUGUAAACAGAGGGCCGAGG